UACGGGGGGAGCAAGCGUUGUUCGGAUUUACUGGGCGUAAAGGGCGCGUAGGCGGGUGCUCAAGUCCGGGGUGAAAUCCUCCAGCUCAACUGGAGAACUGCCUCGGAUACUGGGUGCCUCGAGGGUGGUAGGGGUAUGCGGAACUAUCGGUGGAGCGGUGAAAUGCGUUGAUAUCGAUAGGAACUCCGGUGGCGAAGGCGGCAUACUGGACCACAUCUGACGCUGAGGCGCGAAAGCCAGGGGAGCAAACGGG
rnacentral:rRNA from 1 species